rnacentral:rRNA from 1 species
UACGUAGGUGGCGAGCGUUAUCCGGAAUUAUUGGGCGUAAAGAGCGCGCAGGUGGUUGAUUAAGUCUGAUGUGAAAGCCCACGGCUUAACCGUGGAGGGUCAUUGGAAACUGGUCGACUUGAGUGCAGAAGAGGGAAGUGGAAUUCCAUGUGUAGCGGUGAAAUGCGUAGAGAUAUGGAGGAACACCAGUGGCGAAGGCGGCUUCCUGGUCUGUAACUGACACUGAGGCGCGAAAGCGUGGGGAGCAAACAGGAUUAGAUACCCCCGUAGU